rnacentral:rRNA from 1 species
AUUGAACGCUGGCGGCAGGCCUAACACAUGCAAGUCGAGCGGAUGAAGGGAGCUUGCUCCUGGAUUCAGCGGCGGACGGGUGAGUAAUGCCUAGGAAUCUGCCUGGUAGUGGGGGAUAACGUCCGGAAACGGGCGCUAAUACCGCAUACGUCCUGAGGGAGAAAUUGGGGGAUCUUCGGACCUCACGCUAUCAGAUGACCCUAGGUCGGAUUAGCUAGUUGGUGGGGUAAAGGCCUACCAAGGCGACGAUCCGUAACUGGUCUGAGAGGAUGAUCAGUCACACUGGAACUGAGACACGGUCCAGACUCCUACGGGAGGCAGCAGUGGGGAAUAUUGGACAAUGGGCGAAAGCCUGAUCCAGCCAUGCCGCGUGUGUGAAGAAGGUCUUCGGAUUGUAAAGCACUUUAAGUUGGGAGGAAGGGCAGUAAGUUAAUACCUUGCUGUUUUGACGUUACCAACAGAAUAAGCACCGGCUAACUUCGUG